UUUUUGUCAUUCAAAAAGAAUUUUAGUUCGUUAUCGUCUCGUUGUCGUCAGUGAAACAAAUGUUGUUGACGAGAAUUAUGACAAAUUAUUCGUCAACUAAAUUAACACUGCAGCACGCAGAAUA